rnacentral:lncRNA from 1 species
CAGCAGCGGCAGUGGAGGCCACUGGGCGACCCGAAGCUCCUGGACCCCGUUUGCCUGUUUUCUGCUGCUCCUGCUGCUUGGGUCCCACUUGUAGCCCCCGCGCCCCUGCUGCAGGCUACUCCAGGCCGGUACGCACGACCCAGCUGAUUCCCGAGCAGGGCACCUGUGGCUCGGAGACCGGAGAUGAUCGGGAGCACUGACCCACACUCUCCGCGGGUAGACAGGGCCCAGCCCGUACCGCAACUACCAUGCUCGGCCCUUUUCUGUGCGGUUUUCCAGGCUGCAGAUAAAACCGGCCGAUCUAUACUGCCGGCUCUAAUCUGCAGAAUUCAGGACACCUUGCCAAAAGCAAUGAAGGCCUGGCUGGACUCUUGUUAGAGUGCUGAACGGUGGGGGUCUUUACAGUUCCAGUGGACUAGGGAAAGGGAUGUUGAGCGAAUUAGGUUUGCAAAGGGGCCGGAACUUUUGUUUGUCUGUUUGUUCUGUUUUGUUUUUAAACUUUUUUCCUGUGAGGGGACACAUAGUACUGGUAACGACUUUAAUUGCUCGUGACCACUGAGAAACACAGCAAUCCUAAGUAAGUAGAAAAGUUCCCUUUACCGAUUCAUUCCUGUACUCUUGGUGUAGCCCUCGGUAACGCUGAGUGUGGAGCCCGCGAUUGCCUCGUUGGGGGGUCCCCGAAAUUAUGACUGCAACCUUAACCCCUCACCUCUAAUUUUACCGCCCCCAUUCUGAUCCCUCUGCACCACGUGUCUUAGAGUUAAGGAUCCAAAAAACGCUAGUCUAAAGAGUUACCACAGUGUUGAACAAUACACGUUUUUAUCCUAAAGCUCGGUACUGCCAACUAGGAAAACCUCUAUGAUGUUUGUUCUGUUGUCCUUUUUUUUUUUUUUUUUUUUCCUCCACCAAGAAAUUCUAAGUUUGAAUAUUGCAGAGAUUGACUAUUGCUCUGCCCCUAUCGGGGUCCUGCACCCUGGUACGUCGUAUAUAAACUGUAUUAAAACUGGGGUUUCUUACCAGUUGUACUUUGUAUAUAGAAUUUUUAUAAAUUGUAUGCUUCAGAAAAUAAUUUAUUUUUUAAAAAGAAAUUAAAAGUCUUAAAUCUGCAUCACUGUUGUAUCACACCCCACCCCUAUCCAAGAAAUGUAUAGAAAACAUUGGUCACCAGGAACCCACUCCUGCAGCCCAUCCAAGAAAUGUAUAGAAAACAUUGGUCACCAGGAAUCCACUCCCGCAGCCUAUUUUAGGUGUGCCCUGUGUAGAAGAACAGACUUAAAAAUGUACAGUGUAUUUUACAGAUUUGAAGUAACGUUCUUAUUUUCGAGAGAAUUUAUGGACAUUGUAGAGAUGUAUUAAAUGCAUUUCCAAACUGCCUUAAACAUUGUAUUUUUAUAGACCUCAUUUUUUUUUAAAUCCUGUGUUUAAAAAGAAAAAACUAUGACUCUGUGUAUUUUGGGUUGUUUUAUUACAAAUGCACACAUCAGUAAAGAGUUUAAACACUGUCUACAGUGCCGUUGCUUUCCACGGUUUCACUGCAAUCAGCCCGGUGAUGGGUUGGGAGGGGUGUGGAGGGAGGGGGCACUGGAAGGCCAUCAAGCAUCAAGUGAGAUUAAAACGCAGCACACGGGGGAAUAUGAGCUAAUGCUGCCUUUAAUUUAAUGAACAAUUAGACGUCUACAAAUGGGGCAGCUAAAAGAAUUUGUAACUGGCCUCCGCUGCUGUUGUCACUUGUGAAGAAAACUCACAAAAUACUGUCUCUUGUGUGAGGAUAACCUCCCCCUCCCUGGGAGACCCACCCUGCGCACCCCCUCCCUUUUUUCUCCUGACCCCCAGGAGUGUCCUCUCUGCCUUCUCUAUUCAAUCAAACAUGCCAAUAACAUCUGUUACCAAUAGGUCUAGGAAGCCUCUGAGACUCAAUACUUCAAAGCCAUUUUCACACUUUUGGUGAAAAAAAAAUACAAAAUUUUGUUACAAAACAUUGAGGCGUGCAAAAGUAAACACACCGUGGAGGGGAAUAAUCACCAGGACUGGUAAUAUUGUCCUGAGGAGCUGUUGAACAGUGGGUUGAAGGCUGGGCUUCCGCCAAGCUCCUGAUGCACACUCAAACG